rnacentral:lncRNA from 1 species
UGGGAAAUAAAAGAACUUUAUAGAAGGAGAUGGGAAAUAUGGGAGAUGGUAGAAAGAUUUCUGAGUAGUGGAAAUUAAAGAAUUCUCUCCGCUAUUACAAGUUGAAAGCCUAAAUCGGCCUCAAAAUAUGUUGACUAAUAUUUUUUCUACUCUAUCUAUUUUACAUCUGCGUAUUUAUUUAUACACUAAUACACGUUAUUUGUUUUCCACCUAUCCGGUAGCUGAUGAAUAUAUAUCUGUUAAUUCUUGACUUUGAUGACCUUUUGAAGAGAUGUGUAUUUUAUAUAUUUUGAAGGGGUUUUUAUCUUUUGUACUUUGUAACUUGAAGACUUGUGUUAUUUUAUCUUGGUAUGACAUGGGUUUUUGUGUGGAUUCCUUAGGGUCCA